GCCCAGAUGAUGGAAUGGUAGACAUGCUAGACUCAAAAUCUGGUGGCUUUACGGCUGUGAGGGUUCGAGUCCCUCUCUGGGUA
rnacentral:tRNA from 2 species